AUGGCCUGUUGGUGUUUGAUUGAACUUGUAUUGCUCACCACAUCUCACCACAACAUGCUGAGACUGUUUGUGUUGCUUACAGCAGUGGUCUGCUGUAAUGCAUCCUGCAGAAAAGAAAUAAUGCCCACUCAAGAUACCACAGACAGCCCACAAGGUUGUCCUGGUUCUGAUGGAGAUCUCCAUGAACUUAACUCUGAAUGGGUGAACGGAUAUGAAAAAUGUGUCUGUGGGAAUUCUGGAAUCAUCUGUUGUUUAAGCCUUGAAGGUUAUGGCCCCUAUGGACACAGAUUUGGAGGUUAUGGGCCCUUACAACAGUAAGUCAUUCUAAAAUUAACACUGUAAAAGUUUACAGUUAAUUAAGAGAGAAGUAUAGUGAGAAAUAGAGUAAUGCUUAUGGAUUACUUGUGGAUUAUUGUGACGCGUUUAUCAGCUGCCUGGACUCCCAUUCUGACAGCAUUUAUUAUUAUUAUUAUUAUUAUUAUUAUUAUUAUUAUUAUUAUU
ensembl:lncRNA